rnacentral:rRNA from 1 species
AGGAGGAUCAUUCGCAAUGGGCGAAAGCCUGACGGUGCGACGCCGCGUGAGGGAUGAAGGCCUUCGGGUCGUAAACCUCUGUCAGGAGUUAUGAACGACGGAGACCUUAAUACGGUUUCCGUGUGACAAAGGCUCCAAAGGAAGCCACGGCUAACUACGUGCCAGCAGCCGCGGUAAUACGUAGGUGGCAAGCGUUACUCGGAAUUACUGGGCAUAAAGGGCGUGUAGGCGGAUGCGCAAGUCCGGUGUAAAAGCCCUCGGCUCAACCGGGGAAAGCCAUUGGAUACUGCGUGUCUAGAGUGCGGGAAGGGAGAGUGGAACUCUUGGUGGAGCGGUGAAAUGCGUAGAUAUCAAGAGGAACGCCGGUGGCGAAAGCGGCUCUCUGGCCCGUUACUGACGCUGAGGCGCGAAAGCUAGGGGAGCAAACGGG